rnacentral:rRNA from 1 species
GUUUGAUCCUGGCUCAGAUUAAACGCUGGCGGCAUGCCUUACACAUGCAAGUCGAACGGCAGCACGGGGGCAACCCUGGUGGCGAGUGGCGGACGGGUGAGUAAAGCAUCGGAACGUAUCCUGGAGUGGGGGAUAACGUAGCGAAAGUUACGCUAAUACCGCAUAUUCUGUGAGCAGGAAAGCAGGGGAUCGCAAGACCUUGCGCUCUGGGAGCGGCCGAUGUCGGAUUAGCUAGUUGGUGGGGUAAAGGCCUACCAAGGCGACGAUCCGUAGCGGGUCUGAGAGGAUGAUCCGCCACACUGGGACUGAGACACGGCCCAGACUCCUACGGGAGGCAGCAGUGGGGAAUUUUGGACAAUGGGCGGAAGCCUGAUCCAGCCAUGCCGCGUGAGUGAAGAAGG